UGGGGAAUAUUGGACAAUGGGCGAAAGCCUGAUCCAGCCAUGCCGCGUGUGUGAAGAAGGCCUUAUAGUUGUAAAGCACUUUAAGUGGGGAGGAAAAGCUUAUGGAUAAUACCCAUAGGUUCUGACGUUACCCACAGAAUAAGCACCGGCUAACUCUGUGCCAGCAGCCGCGGUAAUACAGAGGGUGCGAGCGUUAAUCGGAAUUACUGGGCGUAAAGCGAGCGUAGGUGGUUUAUUAAGUCAGAUGUGAAAUCCCUGGGCUUAACCUAGGAACUGCAUCUGAUACUGAUAAACUAGAGUAGGUGAGAGGAAAGUAGAAUUCCAGGUGUAGCGGUGAAAUGCGUAGAUAUCUGGAGGAAUACCGAUGGCGAAGGCAGCUUUCUGGCAUCAUACUGACACUGAGGUUCGAAAGCGUGGGUAGCAAACAGGAUUAGAUACCCUGGUAGUCCACGCCGUAAACGAUGUCUACCAGUCGUUGGGUCUUUUAAAGGCUUAGUGACGCAGUUAACGCGAUAAGUAGACCGCCUGGGGAGUACGGCCGCAAGGUU
rnacentral:rRNA from 1 species